rnacentral:tRNA from 1 species
UGGCGGGUAGCUCAGUUGGUAGAGCGCCAAAAACAUCCUUAAUUCACACCUUGUCCGAAAUGGCCGAAGAGUUGAGGGUUAUCGACUCAAAAUCGGGUAGUCGCAGGUUCAAGUCCUGCUCCGCCAC